rnacentral:rRNA from 1 species
AUGGGCCACUGCGCCUUUGCUAGGCUAAACACAAAGCUGGGUCGGGUGGCCAAAGACCUAAAGAUCUGGAGCAAAUCGCUGUUUAGUGACGCGCGACUGCAGCUACACCUCGCCACUGAGAUAGUUCUAAGACUAGACAUAGCACAUGAGCGUAGGAGCCUCUCCGAUGAUGAGUUUCAUCUAAGGAAGGCUCUUAAGCUGCGGAUUUUAGGCCUGGCUGCAGUGGAGCGAGCUCGGAAGAGGCAGGCAUCACGUAUCACCUGGCUGCAGGCUGGCGAUGCGCCAACUGCUUUCUUCCAGGCGAAGAUCAACUCCAGAGUUCGCAAAAACUUCAUCCACACGCUGCAGGGGCCUGCUGGUAUAGUUACUACCCAGGAGGACAAGGAGACACUGAUCCACGAUCAUUUCCACUCCUUGUUAGGCUCGUCAGCGCCGCGGCGUGCCACUAUAAACUGGGCAACGCUCCAACUACCACAGAUCCAAGGCGGCGGCCUAGACAAUCCCUUCAUGGAGGAUGAAGUU